rnacentral:other from 1 species
GUCCUGAAGUGUACGAUUGAUUCUUUAUGUUUUGAGCCAACACCAAUUAAUCGGGAGUCUGCGUCUUUGUUCGGAAUACAUGCCCCAACAUCGGGGACGUAGGAACAAUAAAGUAGGACACCCACCUGCGAGGGCAGGUUCAAAACGUAAGAAGCACCGGCACCAUUGGGACU